rnacentral:rRNA from 1 species
AACGAACGCUGGCGGCAUGCCUAACACAUGCAAGUCGAACGAGACCUUCGGGUCUAGUGGCGCACGGGUGCGUAACGCGUGGGAACCUGCCCUUAGGUUCGGAAUAACUCCCCGAAAGGGGUGCUAAUACCGGAUCAUGUCUUCGGACCAAAGAUUUGUCGCCUUUGGAUGGGCCCGCGUGGGAUUAGCUAGUUGGUAGGGUAAAAGCCUACCAAGGCGACGAUCCAUAGCUGGUCUGAGAGGAUGAUCAGCCACACUGGGACGGAGACACGGCCCAGACUCCUACGGGAGGCAGCAGUGGGGAAUAUUGGACAAUGGGCGAAAGCCUGAUCCAGCAAUGCCGCGUGAGUGAUGAAGGCCUUAGGGUUGUAAAGCUCUUUUACCCGGGAUGAUAAUGACAGUACCGGGAGAAUAAGCUCCGGCUAACUCCGUG